rnacentral:rRNA from 1 species
AAACUCAAAUGAAUUGACGGGGACCCGCACAAGCGGUGGAUGAUGUGGUUUAAUUCGAUGCAACGCGAAAAACCUUACCCACCUUUGACAUGUACGGAAUCCUGCAGAGACGCAGGAGUGCUCGAAAGAGAGCCGUAACACAGGUGCUGCAUGGCUGUCGUCAGCUCGUGUCGUGAGAUGUUGGGUUAAGUCCCGCAACGAGCGCAACCCUUGCCAUUAGUUGCUACGAAAGGGCACUCUAAUGGGACUGCCGGUGACAAACCGGAGGAAGGUGGGGAUGACGUCAAGUCCUCAUGGCCCUUAUAGGUGGGGCUACACACGUCAUACAAUGGCUGGUACAAAGGGUUGCCAACCCGCGAGGGGGAGCCAAUCCCACAAAGCCAGUCGUAGUCCGGAUCGCAGUCUGCAACUCGACUGCGUGAAGUCGGAAUCGCUAGUAAUCGUGGAUCAGCAUGUCACGGUGAAUACGUUCCCGGGUCUUGUACACACCGCCCGUCACACCAUGGGAGCGGGUUCUGCCAGAAGUAGUUAGCCUAACCGCAAGGAGGGCGAUUACCACGGCAGGGUUCGUGACUGGGGUGAAGUCGUAACAAGGUAGCCGUAUCGGAAGGUGCGGCUGGAUCACCUCCUUUUG